rnacentral:rRNA from 1 species
GAUCAUGGCUCAGGAUGAACGCUAGCUACAGGCUUAACACAUGCAAGUCGAGGGGCAGCAUGGUCUUAGCUUGCUAAGGCUGAUGGCGACCGGCGCACGGGUGAGUAACACGUAUCCAACCUGCCGUCUACUCUUGGCCAGCCUUCUGAAAUGAAGAUUAAUCCAGGAUGGGAUCAUGAGUUCACAUGUCCGCAUGAUUAAAGGUUAUUUUCCGGUAGACGAG